rnacentral:lncRNA from 10 species
CCUCCACGACGCCAGUCGGCGCUGGCGUAGCUCGGCUCAGCCCGGCGGAGUCUGACUUCCGGAGGGCCAGCGGCGCGCUGGCUGGUUACCAAGGUUACCGCCGAGAGGCCGCGUCCUCAGCUGGUCCUAGACAUGCGUGGCGUCGGGGCUGUGGCACGGUCGGGUCCGGGGACACUUGUUUAACAAGACAUCUGCCCAUGUCCCUGGCCCAUCUCAUUGGCUGCAGCACAUCACAGUGGACCUUCUGCCUCCUCCCAGAUGCCCAGGGACAGUGAUCUGGAAGGAAGGGGCUUGAGGCUGUUUUCCUAGAACUCGACUUGAAUGCACCAAGGAAAGGCCAUUUGUGGGGACAUAGCAAGAAGGCAGCUGUCUGCAAGCCAGGAGGAGAACCCUCACCAGAAACCUCACAGAAAUCGGCCAACACCCUCAUCUCGGGCUUCCAGCUUCAGAACAACGAGAAAACAAAUUUCUGUUGUGUCCUGGUUCCCAUUUGUAAUUGGCACCCUAAUGAAACCGUUUUCUGUAGCCCUGGAAAUGGCUGAAAAUGAGGGGAGGGAAAUAAAGUGCUAUAAUUCAGAGCAUGGAGCACACCUUCCUGGUUCACCUGAGCUGGAUUCGGAGAGGUAAAAUGGCCAUUACCUCGUCUAAGCUGCCACUUACAGACACAGUACAGGAUGAGGCCCAGACCCACAGAGACAACGAUGAUGGCCACAGCUAAGAUGAUCCAGAAAUUAUUCCUCCACCAGCUCAUUGCAGUGGAAUCCUGAGAAGAAUGGAGAGAGAAGAAUGAGGUAUGAAUGAAAGAUAUCCUGGGGUUGGGUGGAGUGGGGCAGUUAUCUACUGUGGGUUGUUUUUUUUUUCUUUUCUGAGUCGGAGUCUCACUCUGUCGCCCAGGCUGGAGUGCAAUGACGUGAUCUCAGCUCUCAGCUCACUGCAACCUCCACCUCCCGGGUUCAAGUGAUUCUCCUGCCUCAGCCUCCAGAGUAACGGGGACUACAGGCACCUGCCACCACGCCUGGCUAAUUUUUGUAUUUUUAGUAGAGAUGGGGUUUCGCCACGUUGGCCAGGCUGGUCUGGAACUCCUGACCUCAGGUGAUUCACCUGUCUUGGCCUCCCAAAGUACUGGGAUUACAGACAUGAGCCACCGUGCCCAGCUAAUCUACUGUGUUGUGUAGAGAUGCAGACAUCUGCUUAGGAAUCAGGCACUGGAUCACAGCCAUACCCUACUCAUUAACACCUGGGGGACCUCAGGCAUGUCACUCGACCUUCUGUGAGCCUCAUCUAUAAUAUGGGAAUGAUAUCUCCUACUUCACUGAGGUUUGUGAGGACUGGAGAUCGAACAUGUACCUACUGGGCCCUCUAGAAAUGGUAGACAUCAUCACUGCUCUUUCAGACAUGCAGCAGGAGGGGGAAGGUGCCAUUUAAAGCAAUAAUUGACUGCAGGGUUGUUUUUUUUCUUGAGACGGAGUCUCGCUCUGUAACUCAGGCUGGAGUGCAGUGGCGCGAUCUGGGCUCUCUGCAAACUCUGCUUCCUGGGUUCACAUCAUUCUCCUGCCUCAGCCUCCCGAGUAGCUGGGACUACAGGCGCCCACGACCACGCCCGGCUGAUUUUUUUGUAUUUUUUUAGUAGAGACGGGGUUUCACCGUGUUAGCCAGGAUAGUCUCGAUCUCCUGACCUCGUGAUCUGCCUGCCUCGGCCUCCCAAAGUGCUGGGAUUACAGGCGUGAGCCACUGCACCAGGCCAGUUUUUUUGUUUGUUUGUUUGUUUGUUUGUUUGUUUGUUUUUUGAGACAGAGGCUUGCUCUGUCGCCCAGGCUGGAGUGCAGUGGCGCGAUCUUGGCUCACUGCAACCUCUGCCUCCCAAGCAAUUCUCCUGCCUCAGCCUCCUGAGUAGCUGGGAUUAAAGGUGUGUGCCACCUCGCCUGGCUAAUUUUUAUAUUUUUAGUAGAGACGGGGUUUCAUCAUGUUGGCCAAGCUAGUCUCGAACUCCUGACCUUGUGAUCUACCUGCCUCGGCCUCCCAAAGUGCUAGGAUUAUAGGUGCAAGCCACCAUGCCCAGCCAGUUGUUUUUAAUCACAAGGACAAGUCAGACUUAAUGCAUAGCAGGGGAGAGAAAUUUUGAGAGCUUUUGUUUGAGUUGAGGGUUAGAAAAAUAGCUGGAUGGGUCUCUUUGAGUGAGUUAUGGUCAGAAGGGUGAAGCUGAAGAUACAGGGCAAACUGAGUUGAUCUGCAUGAGAGAGUUAACAGGCAUUUGGGGGCUGGAAGCUGACAGACCAGAGACCGGGAAAGUCUCGGAAAAGGUUAGCAGCAGAGUGAGAGGUCAAGAAGAGAGCACAAGUCAGAUCCUGGUUAGGAAGCUCCCAUAGUGGCAAAUGACCAAGGCGUUUCUAGGACAGUAAUGCCUCAUGUCCAGCCUUAAAUUGCUACCUAGGUUAUGCUGUGGUGUCGCCUUUUGUUACCAUCAAACCUCCAAUAAAACUGCAUAACACGGCCAGGUGCGGUGGCUCACGCCUGUAAUCCCAGCACUUUGGGAGGCUGAGGAGGGCAGAUCACUUCAGGUCAGGAGUUCAAGACCAGCCUGGCCAACAUGGCGAAACCCUGUCUCUACUAAAAAUACAAAAAUUAGCUGGGUGUGGUGGCACAUGCCUGUAGUCCCAGCUACUCAGGAGGCUGAGGCGGGAGAAUUGCUUAAAGCCAGGAAGCAGAGGUGGCAGUAAGCCGAGAUCACGCCACUACAUUCCAGCCUGGACAACAGAGCAAGACUCCAUCUCAAAACAAAAGCAAAGGCUGGGUGCAGUGGCUCACGCCUGUAAUCUCAUAACUUUGGGUGGCUGAGGCAGGCGGAUCACAUGAGGUCAGGAGUUCGAAACCAGCUUGGCCAUCAUGGUGAAACCCCUUCUCUACUAAAAAUACAAAAAAUUAGCUGGGCAUGGUGGUGCACGCCUGUAAUCCCAGCUACUUGAGAGACUGAGGCAAGAGAAUUGCUUGAACCUGGGAGUCAGAGGUUGCGGUGAGCCGAGGUUGUGCCAUUGCACUCCAGCCUGGGCAACAAGAGCGAGAUUCCAUCUGAAAAAAAAAAAAAAACACCGAUCUCAAAGAGGGAGUUGUGAGAACCCCAACUUGAAGCUGGUUGCUCUCAAGUUCCAGAGGCCCGGACUUGCGACUGACGUCUGGGGAGUUGGGGGCAGCAGUCUUGGGAACUGAGCUGUGAGAUCUGAUACUAUCUCUGGGUCUAUAGUGCUGGCAUUGAAUUGGAGAACACCCAGCUGGUGUUCACUGCUUGGUGUGUGGCGGAAAAACCCUCACACAUUUGGUCACAGAAGCCCUUUUCUGUGUUGGUGAUUGUUGUGCUGGUGUGAGAACAGAGGAAAAACACCGCUUGCAGAGUUUUUCCUGAAACAAUACUCUUUAGAGCGAUAGAAAUAAAUACCACGACCUGCGCAUUCAAAGCUGUUGUAUCUGGAUUGUGACUGCGUGGAAGGUCGAGGCGGGAAGACAGGGGCUGUUGCUUUUCGUUAUAAACUCUGCAUUACUUGAUUUUUGCACUACGUACAUUUACUUUGAUAACACUGGAAAGAAUAAAUUGGCCAUGUAGUGUAGCUUCCAAAAAAAACUAUUGCUUGGGUUUCAAGGUCAAGGAAAUUUCAUUCUCAUCAGUUUCUUGGGAAAGAGGAAGUGGAAUGAUGUUGUCAGAAAGUGAAACCAUGGGUCAUUUUCAGAACUACUCAGAGUAAUAAAUAUUUUUUGUCAGUUUUGUUCUUACAAGUGAAAUGGACCGCAGAGAGGAAGCCCUGGGGAAGGAUGAUAGAGAGUACAGAAAACAGGGAGUACACAAUGGCUGCAUGACCGAGUUCAGGCCCUGGGAAGGUAUGAAAGCUGGAUCCUACCUGUGCUGGCAGACCUGGAGUUGUUGCCACAGAGGGCCGAUAAGAUU